GACGUUGUGCCCGAGUGGUUAAGGGGAUUGACUCGAAUCGACUUGAUCCGGUAAUCAAUUAGGCUUUGCCUGCGCAUGUUCGAAUCAUGUCAACGUCG